rnacentral:misc_RNA from 1 species
UCCGAGUUGACCCCGGCAGUCUCCCACGAGUCCCCGGCCGAACCGCUGGCAACAUAGGAUAAGGGUUGCGCUCGUUGCGGGACUUAACCCAACAUCUCACGACACGAGCUGACGACAGCCAUGCACCACCUGUACACCAACCACAAGGGAAGCCCUAUCUCUAGGGAUGUCUGGCGCAUGUCAAGCCCAGGUAAGGUGGGGAUGACGUGGAGGAACACCAAC